rnacentral:rRNA from 1 species
UGCAUAWYCCCAUAGCGGAGGAAAAGAAACCAACAGGGAUUGCCCCAGUAACGGCGAGUGAAGCGGCAAGAGCUCAAAUUUGAAAUCUGGCCUCCCCCGGGGGCCCGAGUUGUAAUUUGCAGAGGAUGCUUCGGGUGCGGCCACCGUAUAAGUUCCUUGGAACAGGACGUCAGAGAGGGUGAGAAUCCCGUCUUGGGCGGGCGGUCCGCGCCCGUGUGAAGCUCCUUCGACGAGUCGAGUUGUUUGGGAAUGCAGCUCUAAGCGGGUGGUAAAUUUCAUCUAAAGCUAAAUAUUGGCCGGAGACCGAUAGCGCACAAGUAGAGUGAUCGAAAGGUUAAAAGCACCUUGAAAAGGGAGUUAAACAGCACGUGAAAUUGUUGAAAGGGAAGCGCUUGCGGCCAGACUCGGGGGCGGGGUUCAGCGGGUGCUCGUCGCCCGUGUAUUCCUCGUCUCCCGGGCCAGCAUCAGUUUCGACGGCCGGUCAAAGGCCCCCGGAAUGUGUCGUCUCUCGGGACGUCUUAUAGCCGGGGGUGCAAUGCGGCCCGUCGGGACUGAGGAACGCGCUCCGGCUCGGAUGCUGGCKUAAUGGCCGUAASCGGCCCGUCUUGAACCSGAAA